rnacentral:rRNA from 1 species
CCUACGGGCGGCAGCAGUGAGGAAUAUUGGUCAAUGGACGAGAGUCUGAACCAGCCAAGUAGCGUGAAGGAUGACUGCCCUAUGGGUUGUAAACUUCUUUUAUAUGGGAAUAAAACGUUCCACGUGUGGGAUUUUGUAUGUACCAUAUGAAUAAGGAUCGGCUAACUCAGUGCCAGCAGCCGCGGUAAUACGGAGGAUCCGAGCGUUAUCCGGAUUUAUUGGGUUUAAAGGGAGCGUAGGUGGAUUGUUAAGUCAGUUGUGAAAGUUUGCGGCUUAACCGUAAAAUUGCAGUUGAAACUGGCAGUCUUGAGUACAGUAGAGGUGGGCGGAAUUCGUGGUGUAGCGGUGAAAUGCUUAGAUAUCACGAAGAACUCCGAUUGCGAAGGCAGUUCACUGGACUGCAACUGACACUGAGGCUCGAAAGUGUGGGUAUCAAACAGGAUUAGAUACCCGAGUAGUC